GCAGUGACCAAAAAAUAAUCUCCAGAAUAACACAUGAUUUUCAACAUGGAUUUUAAACAUAAAAAACAUGUUGUUAACCAACUAAAAUCAUGCUGUUUACAAUGUUUUAACAUCAUAUUAAAACAUCAAAUCAAAAACUUAACAUUCAUAAGAUCAUGCUAUUUCAUGGUAGAAUUUCAUAAACAAAAUUCUUAUAAAACUAAAACAUGAAUCCUAACAUAACAUGAUUCUUAUGAAC
rnacentral:lncRNA from 1 species